UGUGUAUUUCUACUUGCUUGUUCUGCAAAUAUGUAGUUUGAGUGGUACAGAGCAUGAAAGAUCUAUCCAACAGACGCCCUUCUUUUUCUCUGUUUGUUGUGCUACAGUGCCUGAAAGUGCGAUACUAUAUAUUGUCCCGUUUUAUUUAUUUAUUGUAUUUUGCAUGCGAGUCACCAGUUGAAGAUUUUUGCAAAUGUUGUAACAUUUUUUUACAAAUUUCAUACAAACAGUAAAUGCAUUUUACAUAUGCCUAAGUGACUACGUAUAAGCGUAAACGGAAAUAGGGUCUUUUGUGCAAUAAAAGUACUGGGCCUUGUCCAGAAACCAUGAGCUUCAAUUCAAACAACUAUAAUUCUUGUUCUACAGAUAAAGGGACUGUGACAACUGCUAUUGCAGAAGUAGCAGAAGAUAUAAAAAGUCCUUUGAACUAUUCAAGUGGGACAAAAUUUAAGAAUUGCUCAACUGCCAACACCUGGACUGUAAGGGGACUGAAGAGCUUCACUGCAGCAACAACCUGCAUCGAGUCCCUUCCGUUCAAGCACCAGAACUCCAGUACUUGGUGCAUGGUGCUUACAAGGGACUCAGAUGGACUUUAUCUGUCAUUUUUGCUGAAAGAUAGUCCAACUGAAAUGCUUCUGCGAGCAAAUGUAAGAGCAGACGAGAUACUUCGUACUGGAGAAAAGAGAGAAGUGUUCCCGAGCACGUGGUAUAAUUUGGAUGAAGGAGAGAAAACUGAAAUGCUGCCUGUUAGGAAAACUGAAACUGCAGGAGAGGGCGAUGACGAAGAUGAGAUAACCUUGCAGUGUGAAGUCUGCAUACAGUGCAUUGUACAGGAUGAGCUACCUGUGGUAAACACGACAGAAGUACAAGCUGAUGUAGUAAGGGGUCUGUAUGAGAUGUUGCUCAAAGAAGUCCACACAGACUUUGAGCUUCAUGCAGGAGACACUGUUCUCAAGGCACACAGAGCACUACUGUCUGUACGGAGCCCUUACUUCGCUGACAUGCUGCAGCCUGACACAAAGGAAGCACAGGAAGGCUUCGCACAGGUCUCAGAUGUGAAGCCGGAGGUAUUGAAACAGGUUCUAUUGUAUAUGUACACGGGUGUCGCUCCGGCUCUCAAAGACAUGUCGUGGGACCUACUGAAAGCAGCUGACAAAUACCAACUCCGGCAGUUGAAGCGCCAGUGCGAAGCACACAUUGCCAGCUGUCUGAAUGUGGAAAAUGCUGCAGAAACUGCAGCCAAUGCCUCUGUUUUCUCGUGCGACAUGCUGUGGGAUCGAGCCGUCCUUUUCAUCAAGCGCAACCUCAGUGAGGUGAUGUGCACGCCUGGAUGGACUGAAGCAGGAGCUACACAUCCGGAAGCCAUACAGCGUAUUAACGAGCUGAUGGAAUGAGCCAAUGAGAGAAUUUGGCUUUUCACUGUGGACAUGACACUUCACCUGAUGACCAAGGGAAGCCUCCCAGAAACGUUGCUCGGACUGGGCAAUAUAGAAGGACCAAUGAAACCUGCUCUUUGAGGGAGACUGCAUUGGACGAUGGACAACUGAAGGCACCAAUAGAUGUCUCUGCAGUGAAGGUGUCGUGAGUCUACACAACAGUAGCCAUUCUAGCAGAGGGAUUAAAUCAGCAGUUCUUUAUACCUUCAAGUGGCACUCAUUGCAAUUUUGGAACCGAUUACUGCAUUUUGUUACAUCAUAACUGUGCUCCUACUCAGAAGAUGAAGCUAUAACAUCAGCAGAUGGAAGACAGAAGAAGCAGAAUUCAAAGGUCAUUUAGAGAGAUCCCCAUGAAAUUCAUUUUCAGGAGUUCCAGGAAUAAUUGGGUAUGCAAUAAACGGGAACUCAGAACAUGUUAUUGAACACUGAACUCAGCUGACUUUAGUUAAGCACUAAUGACAAAGGAGGAACAUUCAUCAUAUGCUUUAUCAAGAUAAAUCAACUUUGAUAUAUCUUUCUUUUAAUAAUAUAAUAAUUCACUUCAGUCCUCUUCUGCACAACCAACACAUUUCUUAAUUACUGUUUCAAAUUACACCUUCAUCUCUAUUUUACUCAGAAAUGUCAUUCCAUUGUAAAAUGAAGAAAGUUAAGGAUGAUGUUCCCUUUUGAUAUUCCAUGGUCAACAAUCACUGUUUUGUGACCCAUUUUUUAUUUUUUAAUAGAAAACAUUUGUAUUGUCCAAUGAAUUUAUAACUGUAAAAAUG